rnacentral:rRNA from 1 species
AAGAGCAGUAGGGAAUCUUCCGCAAUGGACGAAAGUCUGACGGAGCAACGCCGCGUGAGUGAUGAAGGCUUUCGGGUCGUAAAACUCUGUUGUUAGGGAAGAACAAGUGCUAGUUGAAUAAGCUGGCACCUUGACGGUACCUAACCAGAAAGCCACGGCUAACUACGUGCCAGCAGCCGCGGUAAUACGUAGGUGGCAAGCGUUAUCCGGAAUUAUUGGGCGUAAAGCGCGCGCAGGUGGUUUCUUAAGUCUGAUGUGAAAGCCCACGGCUCAACCGUGGAGGGUCAUUGGAAACUGGGAGACUUGAGUGCAGAAGAGGAAAGUGGAAUUCCAUGUGUAGCGGUGAAAUGCGUAGAGAUAUGGAGGAACACCAGUGGCGAAGGCGACUUUCUGGUCUGUAACUGACACUGAGGCGCGAAAGCGUGGGGAGCAAACAGGAUUAGAUACCCUGGUAGUCCACGCCGUAAACGAUGAGUGCUAAGUGUUAGAGGGUUUCCGCCCUUUAGUGCUGAAGUUAACGCAUUAAGCACUCCGCCUGGAGACGCCAA